rnacentral:rRNA from 1 species
UAACGCGUGGGAAUCUGCCCUGGAGUGGGGGAUAACCCGGCGAAAGCCGGGCUAAUACCGCAUACGUCCUGGGGGAGAAAGAUUUAUCGCUCUAGGGGGGGCCCGCGUCGGAUUAGCUAGUUGGUGAGGUAACGGCUCACCAAGGCGACGAUCCGUAGCUGGUCUGAGAGGGUGGUCGGCCACACUGGGACUGGGACACGGCCCAGACUCCUACGGGGGGGAGCAGUGGGGAAUAUUGGGCAAUGGGGGGAACCCUGAUCCAGCAAUGCCGCGUGAGUGAUGAAGGCCUUAGGGUUGU